AAAGUACUCCCUCCGUCCCAAAAUUCUUGUCUUAGAUUUGUCUAGAUACGGAUGUAUCAAGUCACAUUUUAGUAUUAGAUACAUCCAUAUCUAUACAAAUCUAAGACAAGAAAUUUGGGACAGAGGGAGUAGUUG
rnacentral:pre_miRNA from 1 species